ensembl:lncRNA
AUGAAACAGGCUGCUGCUGCUGAAGUAACCACAUGCACUCUACACACACGCUACACACACUCUACACACACUCUACACACGCUACACACGCGCUACACACACGCUACACGCGCGCUACACACACUCUACACACACUCUACACACACUCUACACACGCGCACUACACACGCGCUACACACACGCUACACGCACGCUACACGCACGCUACACACACUCUACACACACGCGCUACACACACGCGCUACACACACGCUACACACGCGCUACACACACUCUACACACGUGCUACACACGCGCUACACGCACGCUACACACACGCUACACACACUCUACAAACAUGCUCUACACACGCGCUACACACGCACUACACACACUCUACACACGUGCUACACACACGCUACACACACGUUACACACACUCUACACGCACGCUACACACACACUACACACGCGCUACACACGCGCUACACGCACGCUACACACACUCUACACACGUGCUACACACAUGUUACACGCACUACACACACUCUACACACAUGCUACACACACGUUACACGCACUACACACACGUUACACGCACUACACACGCACUACACACGCACUACACACGCGCUACACAUGCGCUACACACAUGCUACACACACUCUACACACAUGCUACACACACUCUACACACAUGCUACACACACGUUACACACGCACUACACACACGCUACACACGCGCUACACGCUACACACUCUACACACACUCUACACGCACUACACACACACUACACACGCGCUACACACGCACUACACACGCGCUACACACGCGCUACACACGCACUACACACGCGCUACACACACGCUACACACUCUACACACGCGCUACACACGCACUACACACGCGCUACACACACGCUACACACACUCUACACACACGCUACACACACGUUACACGCUCUACACACUCUACACACACACGUUACACGCUCUACACGCUCUACACACACGCUACACUCUACACACACGCUACACACAUGCUACGUACACACAUGCUACACACAUGCUACACACAUGCUACGUGCACGCUACACACACGCUACACACAUGCUACGUGCACGCUACACACACUCUACACGCGCUCUACACACACUCUACACGCAUGCCACACACACGUUACACACACUCUACACGCGCUACACACACGUUACACACACUCUACAAACAUGCUCUACACACGCGCUACACACGCACUACACACACUCUACACACGUGCUACACACACGCUACACACACGUUACACACACUCUACACGCACGCUACACACACACUACACACGCGCUACACACGCGCUACACGCACGCUACACACACUCUACACACGCGCUACACGCACGCUACACACACUCUACACACGCGCUACACACACGCACUACACACGCACUACACACACGCUACACACGCGCUACACGCACGCUACACACACUCUACACGCACGCUACACACACACUACACACGCGCUACACGCACGCUACACACACUCUACACACGCGCUACACACACGCACUACACACGCACUACACACACGCUACACACGCGCUACACGCACGCUACACACACUCUACACACACUCUACAAACGCGCUACACACGCACUACACACACUCUACACACGUGCUACACACACGCUACACACACGUUACACACACUCUACACGCACGCUACACACACACUACACACGCGCUACACGCACGCUACACACACUCUACACACGCGCUACACACACGCACUACACACGCACUACACACACGCUACACACGCGCUACACGCACGCUACACACACUCUACACGCACGCUACACACACACUACACACGCGCUACACGCACGCUACACACACUCUACACACGCGCUACACACACGCACUACACACACGCUACACACGCGCUACACAUGCGCUACACACACUCUACACACGUGCUACACACAUGUUACACGCACUACACACACUCUACACACAUGCUACACACACAUUACACGCACUACACACACGUUACACGCACUACACACGCACUACACACGCACUACACACGCACUACACACGCGCUACACAUGCGCUACACACAUGCUACACACACUCUACACACAUGCUACACACACUCUACACACAUGCUACACACACGUUACACACGCACUACACACACGCUACACACGCGCUACACGCUACACGCUACACACUCUACACACACUCUACACGCACUACACACACACUACACACGCGCUACACACGCACUACACACGCGCUACACACGCGCUACACACGCACUACACACGCGCUACACACACGCUACACACUCUACACACGCGCUACACACGCACUACACACGCGCUACACACACGCUACACACACUCUACACACACGCUACACACACGUUACACGCUCUACACACUCUACACACACACGUUACACGCUCUACACGCUCUACACACACGCUACACUCUACACACACGCUACACACAUGCUACGUACACACAUGCUACACACAUGCUACACACAUGCUACGUGCACGCUACACACACGCUACACACAUGCUACGUGCACGCUACACACACUCUACACGCGCUCUACACACACUCUACACGCAUGCCACACACACGUUACACACACUCUACACGCGCUACACACACGUUACACACACUCUACAUGCGCUACACACACGUUACACGCUCUACACACGCUCUACACACGCUCUACACACGCUACACACAUGCUACACACACGCUACUACACGCUCUACACACGCUCUACACACGCUCUACACACGCUACACACACGCUACACACACGCUACACACUCUACACAUGCUAUACACACGUUACACGCUCUACACGCGCUCUACACACGCUCUACACACGCUACACACACACUACACACGCUCUACACUCGCUUUACACACGCUCUACACACACGCUACACGCAUGCAACAAAAUGAAUUUCUGAACUCCCUGGUUUCUUCUCUCCAUAGAAACUGUGUGACGCCGUCCUCAGCGCCCAGUCAGCGCAGCAGCAGCAGCAGAUGA